AAGAGCCGUAUGAAAGGAGACUUUCACGUACGGUUCCGGGAGAAGUUUGAGGUGAAAGUCCUCUUACUUACUCGAC
rnacentral:ncRNA from 1 species